AAGUCGUAACAAGGUUUCCGUAGGUGAACCUGCGGAAGGAUCAUUAGUGUAACCGAGCAACGCUGUAAGCUACUUACAGCGGGUCUGUUGCUAGUAUUAGGCUGUUGCUUGCAGCGGUUCUAGUGCUUUCAGCAGGCUGCGAGGGAGAUAUUAUACACCCCAUGUUUUUCUCACUUUUGUUGCUUUGGCGGGCCGUCCAUUUCGGCAUCGGCCCCGGCCGAUUGCGCCCGCCAGAGGACCCCAAACUCUUCCAUUAGUGAUGUCUGAGUACCAUAUAAUAGUUAAAA
rnacentral:misc_RNA from 1 species